UGGGGAAUUUUGGACAAUGGGGGCAACCCUGAUCCAGCAAUGCCGCGUGUGUGAAGAAGGCCUUCGGGUUGUAAAGCACUUUUGUCCGGAAAGAAAACGCCGUGGUUAAUACCCGUGGCGGAUGACGGUACCGGAAGAAUAAGCACCGGCUAACUACGUGCCAGCAGCCGCGGUAAUACGUAGGGUGCAAGCGUUAAUCGGAAUUACUGGGCGUAAAGCGUGCGCAGGCGGUCCGCUAAGACAGAUGUGAAAUCCCCGGGCUUAACCUGGGAACUGCAUUUGUGACUGGCGGGCUAGAGUAUGGCAGAGGGGGGUAGAAUUCCACGUGUAGCAGUGAAAUGCGUGGAGAUGUGGAGGAAUACCGAUGGCGAAGGCAGCCCCUGGGCCAAUACUGACGCUCAUGCACGAAAGCGUGGGGAGCAAACAGGAUUCAGAUACCCUGGUAGUCCACGCCCUAAACGAUGUCAACUAGUUGUCGGGUCUUCAUUGACUUGGUAACGUAGCUAACGCGUGAAGUUGACCGCCU
rnacentral:rRNA from 1 species